UGAGGAAUAUUGCGCAAUGGAGGCAACUCUGACGCAGCCAUGCCGCGUGCAGGAAGAAGGCGCUACGCGUUGUAAACUGCUUUUAACCGGGAAGAAACCCCUCCACGUGUGGAGGGUUGACGGUACCGGUGGAAUAAGCACCGGCUAACUUCGUGCCAGCCGCCGCGGUAAUACGAAGGGUGCAAGCGUUAUCCGGAUUCAUUGGGUUUAAAGGGUGCGUAGGCGGAACAAUAAGUCAGCGGUGAAAGCCCGUAGCUUAACUACGGAAUGGCCGUUGAUACGGUUGUUCUUGAGUACGUUUGACGUGGGCGGAAUGUGCCGUGUAGCGGUGAAAUGCUUAGAUAUGGCACAGAACACCGAUAGUGAAGACAGCUCACGAAGACGAAACUGACGCUGAGGCACGAAAGCGUGGGGAUCGAACAG
rnacentral:rRNA from 1 species